UACGUAGGGGGCAAGCGUUGUCCGGAUUUAUUGGGCGUAAAGAGCGUGUAGGCGGCUUGGUAGGUCCGCUGUGAAAACUCGAGGCUCAACCUCGAGAUGUCGGCGGAAACCACUUGGCUAGAGUCCGGAAGAGGCGAGUGGAAUUCCCGGUGUAGCGGUGAAAUGCGCAGAUAUCGGGAGGAACACCAAUGGCGAAGGCAGCUCGCUGGGACGUUACUGACGCUGAGACGCGAAAGCGUGGGGAGCAAACAGG
rnacentral:rRNA from 1 species